UACGAAGGGGGCUAGCGUUGUUCGGAAUUACUGGGCGUAAAGGGCGCGUAGGCGGUGUGUCAAGUCAGGCGUGAAAGCCCCGGGCUCAACCUGGGAACAGCGCUUGAGACUGGCACGCUCGAGUUCGGGAGAGGAUGGUGGAAUUCCCAGUGUAGAGGUGAAAUUCGUAGAUAUUGGGAAGAACACCGAUGGCGAAGGCAGCCAUCUGGACCGACACUGACGCUGAGGCGCGGAAAGCGUGGGGAGCAAACAGG
rnacentral:rRNA from 1 species